GCCGACGAAAUACACUAUAAUUCGUCGGCUAAGAUGAUUUUAGCUGACGAAUAACCUAAUAUUUCGUCGGCUUUAGUUAUUUUUUAAUUUUCUAAUUACAUACUAUAGCCGACGAAUACGUUAGGGUAUUCGUCGGCUAAACCCUAAAAUUUUUCUAUUACCUACUAUAGCCCUAUCUUCGGUGGUUAUUUUCCGUAAAAUUUUUAGACGACUUCUUGCGUCUCAUCGGUUUGAAACUAUUUUCAGUUGGAGGUCCGGCCAAAAUACGUAAUUUAGACGGUCGAACGACCUUUUCCAUGCGUUUAGGGGUUUGACAUACGAGAUUGACCAUCCGGAUCGAGCCCUUAUUCUUUUCGGAUCAAGUUGAAUUUUUUCCCAUACAUGUAUUUUAUCAUGAUGGUCACACUUGACGGUCGGAUUUUUGUUUCUCAAGUUUGAUCAUCACAAUCACAACAUGCAUACUAAUGUUGUAUAACUUGUUUACCGAGUGUUAUGUAAAUGUUCCGUUUCAAAAACAAACUAUACGUAAAACCUUCAAACGCCAAAAAGUCAUGAAAUAAGAUAUGUAGAGAAUAUAGAAAUACAUCCACGGUUGAAAAAUCACACUAUUUCGGUAAAUAUUCGGUGCCGAUAGUUGUGGUCAAUGCAAUUUUUCAUUCUUUCCCCCUAUGAGUGGCUAUAUUCGGUGGUUAUUUUGCGAAAAAUUUUUAUACGACUUGUUGUGUGUCAUCGAUUUAAAACUAUUUUCAGUUGGAGGUCCGGCCAACAUACGUAAUUUAGACGGUCGAACGACCUUUUCCGUGCGUUUAGGGGUUUGACUUACGAGAUUGACCGUCCGGAUCGAGCCCUUAUUCUUGUCGGAUCAAGUUGAAUUUUUGGUCAUACAUGUAUUUUGUAAUGGUGGUCAGAUCUGACGGUCGGAUUUAUUUUUCUCAAGUUUGAUCAUCACAAUCACAAUGUGCCAAAUGUAUAAAAAUACUUUUAGCCGACGAAUUUCAAAGGUUAGCCGACGAAUUUAUAAAGUUUAGCCGACGAAUUUCAAAGUUUUAGCCGACGAGUUUAGAAGGUUUAGCCGACGAAUUAGUGUAUAGCCGACGAAAUUCGUAGUUUUCGGGUUUAACUGCGAAACCCUAGCCUCCUCCCUCCUCCCUUCUAAUUAUCCCUCUCCCGUCUCCGCCUCCUCCCUCCUCCCUCCUCC
rnacentral:lncRNA from 1 species